AGAGAUGUAUGGAAACAAGGACGGGUCCAUCCCUGCCACCUUUGAGAUCCUCUACAUGAUUGGCUGGAAGCCUCAUGAAUCACAGGCCAAACCAGCGAAGCGAGGCUCAGCCACUGUGUCGUUUGGGGAUUUGUCAAACAUCAGUCAGCCAACCAACACAAAGAAGUCAUAGAAACAUCUGAACCACUGAUCAGCUGACACACUGAAGAUUGUAAAUACUAUAUUUUAUUUAAACACCUGUUUUGUAGCCAGACUAAGUAUAAGCAAUGUGUUGUAAUAUUAUUCUCUGGAAAUAAAGCUGAACAGAGAA